GAUGAACGCUGGCGGCGUGCCUAAUACAUGCAAGUCGAACGGGCUCUUCGGAGCUAGUGGCGGACGGGUGAGUAACACGUUGGUACCUACCCCGAAGUGGGGAAUAACUGGCCGAAAGGUCGGCUAAUACCGCAUAAUACCGCAAGGUUAAAGCAGUAAUGCGCUUCGGGAGGGGCCUGCGUCCCAUUAGCUUGUUGGUAGUGUAAUGGACUACCAAGGCGACGAUGGGUAGCUGGAUCGAGAGGUUGACCAGCCACACUGGGACUGAGAUACGGCCCAGACUCCUACGGGAGGCAGCAGUAAGGAAUCUUCCACAAUGGACGAAAGUCUGAUGGAGCAACGCCGCGUGCAGGAUGACGGUCUUCGGAUUGUAAACUGCUUUUAUAUGGGAAGAUUAUGACGGUACCAUAUGAAUAAGGACCGGCUAACUACGUGCCAGCCGCCGCCGUAA
rnacentral:rRNA from 1 species